AGGAGUAUAGUUCAGUUGGUAGAACGUUGGUCUCCAAAACCAAAUGUCGUGGGUUCGAGUCCUACUACUCCUGCCA
rnacentral:tRNA from 1 species